UUUCAAUCCCUGAGUUUAGGAUGGCUAGAUCUGCUCAGGGAUUGUUUAGUUUUCUGCGAAGGUUUAGGGUCAGAUUCUGCUCUGGUUUCAGGGCCAAAGUGUGUUUCUUUCACUGGUCCUUUAUUGGCCUUUUGGCUCUAGUUUUAGGGACAGGUGUAUUUCUUUCGCUGGCUCUGAUUCCAGGGGCAGGUGUUUCUUUGGCUCUGCUCAGGGUGUGUUUCUUUGGCUGGUCCUUUUCCCCUAAAGUUACAAGCAGCCACAUGGCCAGGAGGGGAGCUCUAGAGGAAGAGUAAGAACGCCUACCGUACCAGAGAACUUGCAUUGGGCCAGCAUCUGAAAGAAAGAUGAAGAAGAGAAGAAAAAUGGAAAGAUGGAUGUUUCUGAGUCAGGACUCCUGGGGAAUUUGGAACUACUGCACUAGAGGCCAAGAAUUUUUUGAAGGGAAGUCUCCAGACCUUUGCCUGAUAAUCAAUAGUCAAGUAGUGCAGGCUCUACAAGUGGAGGUCCCACCGAGAUCGGGAAAGCAAGGACGUCCUCGAAGGCUGGCCAGCAGGGUUCAGAAAUGUCUAGAUGCUGUUACUGCUAGCACGGUGGAUGAUCUUUCGGUUCAGAUGGCUACAGCUCUGGCCACACAAAAUGCUCUAAAUCAUCACAUCCAACACAUCCUGUUUUUCUCUUGCACAGCUGAGCACUCUGGCAAACGUCUUCGGGAAGCCCUAUAGGCUUGUGACUGUGACCUUUUCACCCUGGGGGUUUUCCACUGUGCUGCAAGACAGUAUUUGAGGCUCCACAUUCCCCCAAAUAAAUGGCAUUCUG
rnacentral:lncRNA from 1 species